rnacentral:rRNA from 1 species
UACGUAGGGUGCAAGCGUUACUCGGAAUUACUGGGCGUAAAGCGUGCGUAGGUGGCGAGGUAAGUCUGAUGUGAAAUCCCCCGGCUUAACCUGGGAACUGCGUCUGAUACUGGAGGGCUUGAGUAUGGGAGAGGGAUGUAGAAUUCCAGGUGUAGCGGUGAAAUGCGUAGAUAUCUGGAGGAAUACCGGUGGCGAAGGCGGCAUCCUGGACCAUUACUGACGCUGAGGCGCGAAAGCUAGGGGAGCAAACGGG